rnacentral:sRNA from 2 species
UUUUAGCCCGGAUCGCAGUGGAAAUCCUUUUUUUUUGGGAGUGGUGAAGCGAGGGCGAAAAAAGAUUGCAACGUAGAGCCGGACUGGUU